rnacentral:rRNA from 1 species
GACGUAGGGCGCGAGCGUUGUCCGGAUUUAUUGGGCGUAAAGAGCUCGUAGGCGGCUUGUCGCGUCGACUGUGAAAACCCGCGGCUUAACUGCGGGACUGCAGUCGAUACGGGCAGGCUAGAGUUCGGUAGGGGAGACUGGAAUUCCUGGUGUAGCGGUGAAAUGCGGCAGAGUAUCAGGAGGAACACCCGGUGGCGAAGGCGGGUCUCUGGGACG